rnacentral:rRNA from 1 species
ACUACCGAUUGAAUGGUUUAGUGAGGCCUUCUGACUGGCGCCGAUGCUCUGGCAACAGAGCGCCGGAUGCCGGAAAGUUGGUCAAACUUGAUCAUUUAGAGGAAGUAAAAGUCGUAACAAGGUUUCCGUAGGUGAACCUGCGGAAGGAUCAUUACCGAUGUAAUCCAAAAGCACGACUCCGUCGUGACUACCGUGUGAACCGUACCAAACUAUUCAGGGGUCGGCAAGUCCGUUAAAUGGCGGUCGGACGCCUGCGUUGCGCGCGCGGCCGCUCCGCCAGCCCCGCCUGUGUUUUUUAACAUACGUGUCUUGUCUGAAAACGUGACCACUGCCGUGGUCCAGAGCAAAGAAAAAAGAGAGACAACUUUUGACGGUGGAUCUCUUGGCUCACGCAUCGAUGAAGAACGCAGCCAGCUGCGAUAAGUAGUGUGAAUUGCAGAAUUCAGUGAAUCAUCGAAUCUUUGAACGCAAAUGGCGCUCUUGGGUUCUCCCAGGAGCAUGUCUGUCUGAGUGUCGGAUAUCAUCCAACGCACUUAGUCGUGCGGCGUUGAGGCGUCACGGCCCUCAUGCUGCCGUGUCCCUUGAAAGUCAGAGAGACUCGCGCGGCACGGGUUCGUUCCCUGCACACUCGCGGAGGCUAAAAACGCUUUUGCCCUUCGCGUGCACGGGACGACCCGUCCGCGAGUCGCGGAGGCGAACACUUUUUAAACUCUUGACCUCAGAUCAGACAAGGCUACCCGCUGAAUUUAAGCAUAUUAAUAAGCGGAGGAAAAGAAACUAACAAGGAUUCCCCCAGUAACGGCGAGUGAAGCGGGAUGAGCUCAAAUUUGAAAUCUCCGGUGCUUGCACCGGCGAGUUGUAGUUGCGAGAAGCACUUUCUCGGCGGAUCGGCGGCGCCUAAGUUGCUUGGAACAGCAUGUCGCAGAGGGUGACAACCCCGUCUGUGGCGCGGCCGGCCGCUUACGAU